CAGUCGAGCGGACAGAUGGGAGCUUGCUCCCUGAUGUUAGCGGCGGACGGGUGAGUAACACGUGGGUAACCUGCCUGUAAGACUGGGAUAACUCCGGGAAACCGGGGCUAAUACCGGAUGGUUGUUUGAACCGCAUGGUUCAAACAUAAAAGGUGGCUUCGGCUACCACUUACAGAUGGACCCGCGGCGCAUUAGCUAGUUGGUGAGGUAACGGCUCACCAAGGCAACGAUGCGUAGCCGACCUGAGAGGGUGAUCGGCCACACUGGGACUGAGACACGGCCCAGACUCCUACGGGAGGCAGCAGUAGGGAAUCUUCCGCAAUGGACGAAAGUCUGACGGAGCAACGCCGCGUGAGUGAUGAAGGUUUUCGGAUCGUAAAGCUCUGUUGUUAGGGAAGAACAAGUACCGUUCGAAUAGGGCGGUACCUUGACGGUACCUAACCAGAAAGCCACGGCUAACUACGUGCCAGCAGCCGCGGUAAUACGUAGGUGGCAAGCGUUGUCCGGAAUUAUUGGGCGUAAAGGGCUCGCAGGCGGUUUCUUAAGUCUGAUGUGAAAGCCCCCGGCUCAACCGGGGAGGGUCAUUGGAAACUGGGGAACUUGAGUGCAGAAGAGGAGAGUGGAAUUCCACGUGUAGCGG
rnacentral:rRNA from 1 species